rnacentral:misc_RNA from 1 species
GGGGUGGUGGUUGUGGUGCUACUGCAGCCGUAGCAGCAGCACUUCCACGUAACAAAAGAUCAAGACGUGGGUAUAAGGGCCAAGAGGAAGCAUCUGCAGUGGCGGAUUCUGAUCUAUACCUCUUCUUCAUUGACUCAAUCUUAUUCUUACAUUGCGUUUGAGUCUUGGGCGACUUGGUAUAAUUUGCACGCGAUGAAACAAAGCGAGCAACGUCUUCCCAGUCAUGUCCUUUGAGCUUAGCUCGGUUUCUAAGUAUCCACUUACUCUCAUAAGCCUCAAGCAAACUAGAAACAGCUCCUUCGCUCCAUUCAUCUC